AAACUUGCUUCAACCGAACUCCAUGGAGUCUUGUCUGAAUUCGUUUUGUGCUAAGCUUAGUUGAAGUUAACAAUAAACAGUUCUUACUUUUUAAGUUACCGUGGUGCUGAAGUGUGGGAACUAUGGAAUGUGAGCGUCGUUAUAUUAGCGAACGUUUCACUACCAAUGAGAGAAGAAUUCUUUUUCAGUUAGUUGGGAAGAGAGCAGCCGUAUUUGCAUGUAAACGAACUGAUGCUAUUGCUUCGGGAAAGCGGCAAGAAGCGUGGAAUGCUCUUUGCAACGAGUACAAUUCGUACCCUGGAGUGACUCAACGCACGGUUCAGCAGCUGCGAAAAUGUUGGCAGAACGAAAAAACGAAACGGAAAAAAGCAUUGACGGCCGGAUGUAGGCCUUAUUCGAAUAGGUCCUCUAUAGAGCCAGACCCAGAGUUCGAGAAGGCGUUGUCUGGAAUUGAACACUACGUCGAAUACACGCUCGACGAUGAUCCGCUCUCGCCAGCGGAGGAUUCGGAGGAGACGGUUGUUACAGCAGGGUCUGGGUUAGCCAAGUCGGAAGAACUAGACACAGAGUGCUCUUUCAUUGAACUUGAUUCAAAUGAAGAGCACAGUUGUGCUGACUCCAAUGCAGCGACUGCAUUCAGCAGCUUGCACCACACUAAACACAGAAACAGCUCUCUUUCCACGCCAACUGCAUCAGCAUCCACUUCCAUGAGAGAUGCGGCGAUAGAAAAAGAGCUGAGCAAAAGGCUCGAGAAGCUGCAAAGGCAAGGUGCACAGAACGACCAAUUGCAUGCUUUGUGCGUCAAGGAGCAGCGUUACAAGACAGAGAAGGCUCGCUUGGAGCUUGAAAACGCAAAGAAACAAUUUAAGCGGGAAGAGGAGCUUCAUGCAUUUGCACUCGAGGAGUCGAAGCUGCGACUCAGAUUUCUCAAGCAGAAACUGCAUGAUAGAGACCUUCAGGAGACCACCUAUGUUUUAAGUUAAUUAUUUCAUACUAAAAUUUAUCUUUUAAUAUUAUAUUUCUCAAGUUAAUUUAACCCAUUUACAAUCAUUUCUGUACCAUAUCUUAGAGGUCAAAAUAUUUUUAAGAAUAAUAUUUCUGUUCUGGCAGAUGCAAUAUGAAGAAAUACACCAAAUGAAUACUGUACCUUCAGAGAUUGUUAUGAUGUAGGGGAUCUGUGUGGACAAGUAUGUGAAAUUUCUGUAUGACAGCCACUUCACACAAUUUGUCUAAUACUGUACUAUGCAUUUUUAGGAACACUGUUUUUUAUUCAUCCAGUUAUUUUCCUGCUGGUGAAUGUGGGUUAAGUAAUAUAAUUGAAUCAGCCUGUGGAGAAAGGAACAAAGUCAAUGUUUUUGUUUUUCACUUUUUAAUACAAGUGGACAAUAUGCUUCAAAUAGUGGUGAAAAGAAUGGUCAUAUUGUUCCUUAUCUCUUAAAUCACACAUCUAAAAAUGUUGAUAUUUAGAGAAAGGAAGAAGUCAUUGACAUACAUAAUUCCUUCCUCCAUAAAAUAACGUAACUUUGACUUUAUUUGUUUCUAUACUAAAUUUUUUUAAAUGAUGCAAAGAGAAUGUACUCUUAGAGAGUGGUAUAUUUCUGAUUUACAUUAGCAGAAAGUAGUAGUGAUGUUUGUUUAACAGUUAAUCUUAUUUAUAAUUAUUUAAAUAUUGGUUUUUAUAUAGUUGAAGGCUAUCAUCUUCCAAGAUGCUUCUGUUGGAACAGUCGUCAAUGUUCAGAGGCAUCCAGACAGUGCAGUUAACUUCUACAGAGAAUAAUUUUCACAAAAUUUCAACUACAGAUUUGGGCACUCACGAGUUGAUAUAUGCUGUAAAUGUGAACUAAUGAACACCAAACUAAAAAGCCCUCACAUAAGUGAUAGCAUAAAGCAAGCAGCAGAGAGUGUGUUAAAUGUGCACAAACAGUGCAAAACUUAUAUCAAUAAAAGAUGUAGAAGCCCGGUGUCAUAAACAAGAACACACCGGAGGUUUGGUCUUUGAUUUUAUGCAGAACCUGCCACUUCCAUGUAUACCAGUACAUGAAAGUGUUUGUGUUUUCUACCUGAGGUAUAGACAUUCUGUGAUAUGCAUGUAUCAUGAAGGUGAAGGACACAAUAGUGCAAAUGAAGUGUGCUUUUUUGUAUAUGACUAUAUCCACACUGACAUUUUAAGCAAAGUAACUGAACUCUUUCUUUUAUCAGACGGGGCACAUAUAGCCCAGGAAUUUUAGGCUCAAAAAUACCCUAACCCAGAAAAAAAUAUUAUAAAGCUGCAAAUUUGGUCAUUAGUACUAUUCACCUUCCUGAACAACAUACUGAAUUUCCCCUAUUCUCCCGUGCCGGCGUCCAUGUUUUUUUCGGGCAAGAAUGUCUUAAGUCGCAAAAAUCGACACACAGGCGAAAUUGACCCUUCAGAAAUUAAACCCAAGAAUAAAUACUUUUCUAUAAAUAUUUUAUUUCAUCGUAAGAUCAUACUGAAUAGCUGUAAAUUUUCAAUUAGUAAAUGAAAUACAUUUUCAGCGUUGUUAAAGCGAUUAUCUUUCAAGAAUUUCUUGAAAAAUUAGCAAAGUUACAAAUCAACUGACUCAGAGAGUAUAAAUUAAGCAAGAUAGCUAAAAUGUGGUUUUUACAAUCGAUAUUUGCUACUUCUUUUUCCAAUGGUGUAUUAUUCAUUUUCAUGGGAUGGUUUGUUUAGGAGAUACGGCCACCUUAACAAUAGCGCGCGUCGUGUAAUCACGAGUUCUGGCACGAGUCACCACCAGCAGUUGUCUAGACGCAUUGUAUUUCAGUACUUGCAUACGUGUCUGUUGUCUCUGUCGAUCGAUUACAUACAGUCGACUGAUCGGUGACUGGCUCCUCACAUAAAUGUUCAGUCUUUGUCCGGACGUGUCAGAAGUGAAGUUGCGUAUUUACUGGUGCUUUGGAAUGAGUUAUUUAUUUCUUAAUGUGAGUUUGUGGUUAGAAAUGAAAUAUUAGUUGAAAUUGCUACUCAAUCUGAGUGUUUGAUUUGUAAAAAAACACUGGAACCUGGUCAAGAAGAAAUAACUACAGUAACAAGAGGAUUGUUGGGACUCGUUAAAGCCAGUGAACAAAGGGCUGAUGGAAACGUUCUUUUCUUACGGUCUCUCGUGGAGACUGGGUCGUCACUAAAGUUGCACAAACAAUGCAGGUAAGGUAAUUUAUUACAAUUUUAACCUAGCAUUGUGUUGCACUUAUAUUACUAUUGUGGUGUCAAUAGUGAGGUAUGUACAACAACGGCAUUACGUUGGAUUCACAUUUGGGAGGACUCAGGUUCGAUACCCGGUUGAGCCAUUGUGAUUUUGGUUUUCCAUGGUUUCAUUAAAUCACUCUAGGCAAAUAUUGGUAAAGACCAUGGCUGACUACUUUCCUAUUUCCUGAUUAAUAGUGUUCCUCUUUAGGCCUUGCGGUUCGGUAAUAACUCAAAACAUAAAAAAACUAAUUAUUAUGUUCAAUAAUUGAAAACUUUUCCAUUAUCUAAAUAUUAAUUUGUUUUAUUUAUUUAUUUAUUUAUUUAUUUAUUAAAUUUGUGACAUGCACACCAACAGCCGAAGCUUUGGAGGUGUGCACAGAACAAGUAAUAAAGACACGACACAUACAAACGAAUAAAUACAACAUAAACAGGAUAAUAAAAGACGACACAUACAAGCGAAUAAAUACAACAUACACAGGAUUUUAAAAGACGACACAAUAACAAACAAAACAAAACAGCAACUGAGAUAAUCUUAACUAAAUGAUCUAGAAUGGGAAGAAUAAACAGGAUUAUAAUUACUCAAAAUAUUAGGGUAAUCAUAAAAAUUAAAAUUUAAAGUUUUUAAUAAAAUUUUCAUAUUUAUUGAAAUUUGAGAUAAGUCUGUAAAUUAAAUCAUUAUUAUUGUGUAAGGAACAUAAUAGGGAUCGAAGGCGGCUUUUGAACUGCGGGACUCGAAUACCAGAGUUACCAAGUAAGUAUAAGCAAUUAAUUUUUGAACUAUAGCACUUAAACACAAACAGGGCAUCCAGAUGGAUGCGGCGAUUUGAAAGAGAUUCUAAUUUGGGUAAUUGAUGGUGUCUAGAACUAAUUAUUUUGAAAAAUUUAUUUUGUAUGGAUUCAAUUUUGUCACUAUCGGUGGUGUUAAUACUGUUCCAGAUAACUGAGCAAUAUUCGAGUUUACUUCUAACUAAGGACAAAUAAAGAGUAAGAAUGGAUUCAAUAUUAGAUGCAUAGUAAGUUAUAUAAUUUAUUAAAUAUAAGGUUCUACGGGAAAAGGAUACUAAAGAAUUAACAUGUUGAUGAAAGAAUAGUUUGGAGUCAAGAAUAACACCAAGAUCUUUUAUACUAAGAGAUUUGGAAAUUUUUGAGUUGUCAAGAAAAUAAUCAUAUUUAACUGGAUGAAUUUUCCUUGUUAAAGAAAUAAUUUUUGUUUUAUCUUUGUUAAGUGAAACUAAAUUCAUUUUACACCAAUUAUCAAUUUCAGUAAUAUCAUAUUGAAGAAGCAGACAGUCAUUUAAGGAGGAAAUUUCUCUGGAUAUUUUAAGAUCGUCAGCAAACAGAAAACCAGUAGUAUGAUGAAGAACUUUAAAAAUAUCAUUAAUAUAAAUAUUGAAUAAUAAGGGAGAUAAAGUACCCCCUUGAGGCACACCAGAAGUAGCAUGAUAUAAAGUAGAAGUUUUUUUAUUAAGUGAAACAAAGAAACAUCUAUCUUUAAGGUAACUAGUAAACCAGGUUAUAUAAUUAUUACAGAGACCGAAGUUAGAAAGUUUAGCUAGUAAAAUGGAGUGAUUGACAGUAUCAAAGGCUUUAGCCAGAUCAAAAUAACAUGCAUCAACCUGCCCCCUUGUUGUAACUUUAUUGUAUAUAGGAUUAAUAAAUGAGAGAAGAUUAGUAGAAGUUGUCAUACUAUUUCUAAAGCCAUGCUGAUUAGGAGCUAAUCUGUUGUUUAUUGGGAAGUUAAUAUGUUUAAAUAUUAUUUUUUCAAAGAUUUUAGUAAAGCCAUUUAAUAAUGAUAUAGGCCUAUAAUUAAAUACACUGAGUUUACUACCCUUUUUAUGUAUGGGAAUAACCUUAGCUAUUUUCCAUUUAGUGGGAAAUACUUGUGAUUUUAGACUUGUAUUAAAUAGAUGCAACAAUAGAGGCAUUAGAAUAAAAGAGCAGCCUUUAAUAAUGAAAUUUGGUAUACCGUCAGGACCAGUAGACAUAGUAGGUUUUAAUGAUUUAAUUCCCCAUAAGACCUGGCUUUCUGAUAAGAAUGAUACAGGAAUUGAAUCGUGAAUAAUAUCGGGAUCAAUGAUACGAGGGUGGUUGGUGGAUGGUACAUAUACACUAGCAAAGUACUUAGCAAAGACAUUAGAAAGAAUACCUGGAUCAUUACAGAUAUCACCAUUGACAUUAAGAGAAUGAGAUUCACUAUAACCAUUUUUCAUAACAUUGACAUAUCUCCAGAAUUUUUUAGGGUUAUUCUUAACCUUAUUAUUGAUACUACGAUUCCAAUUAGUUUUAUCACGCUUAGUAAGAUUUUUAACUAGUGCUCUAUAUUUAGAGAAAAGAAGGUAAUACUGAGCAUAAUGUUUCUUUUAUAGAGUUUAUGAAAGUGUUUUUUUAGAUUUUAAGGCAUGAAUUAAAUCACCAGAGAACCAAUAAGGAUGUUUAGAGGCCUUACGUGUGGAUAAUGGAAUGUGAGUAUUGAUUUUAUCACAGAUACAAGAUGUAAGUUGAUCUACAAGAGCAUGUACAUCAGUGGUGUUAUAAUAUUCAUCCCAAUUGUGGGUUUUUAGAGAGUUAUAUAGGCUUAAGUAAUCACCAACUUUGUAGUUUCUGAAAAAAGAAUCUGGAGUAAAAUUGUGUGAGGUCGCCUCAAUAAGUAGUUUAAUAAGUAGGGUAGGAUGAUAGAUAUCCUCUUUGACCAGAGAUUCAACAGCUUUUUCAACCACACAAUGGGAUAGAUUAGAAAAACAAAGAUCUAGAAGAUUAUUGGAAGAUUGUAUUAGGUUGUGCUGAAUUAAAUCCAAAUUAGAUAUGAAAUCAAGUAGGCACUGAGCCUUGGAUCUGACAUGUGCACGGGCAAUAUUGAAAUAGUGAUUACCUUUCCAAUAUAUCCCAGGUACAUUGAAGUCACCUAAGAUAAUCACAUUAUCAUGCAUGCAUUAAUAUUUAUAAGGUAUUCUACUAAUUUAUAAUGCUGGAGCAUUCUAAUUUUGAAAGUACAACAAUGUGAUGUUAACAAUGUGAUGUCAAAGUUAUGAUUAUUAUAUAAAAUACAGCUGUGGGAGAUGCAAAGCUCAAAACCAAGAAUCAAUGACAAUUAACAGACAGCAUCAUCCACCAUCAGCAGACAUCAUAGCCGCCAGAGGCAAACUUCAAGUUCACAGUUACAAAAAGUCAACAUUGCCAGGACUCAAGGGCAUUAGCAUUCGCGAGCUAGCCACUGUGUCUGAUGCUACAGCUCGAUCUGUGAAAAAUGCUAUUGCAGCAGAUGUACUUUGGACCUCUGCUAGAUGGUUAGAAGAGUUUUAAGCAUCAUCUUGGAAUGGUUUUAUGCGUAGCUGUAUACACACAGGGAAAAUUAGUUGGUGCGUCACUGCAGUCGAGGCAGUGCCAUUUAUAAAUUUAGAGCGAUCAAAUCACAGUACUAUUUAUACUGCACUUAUUUUUGCAGCUGAGGAGUGUAAACACCACAAUCAGGGUAGCUGUAUUGUUAAUUUUGAUCAGCCACUUUAUGCGAAGGCAUCAGAAAUUAUCGCAGCUGCACCUCCUGGGGAACUGGAUAGUGUAACUCUUCGGCUUGGUGGAUUCCAUCUCCUCGUCAGUUACAUGGGCUCUGUUGGAUUCAUAAUGUCUAGGAGUGGCAUAGAAGAGCUGUUGAUGCAAGUUUAUGCUAAAUCUUCAGUAACACAUGAUUUCAGGCCAUGCAUUUUCUAGAGCUGUGCGAGCACACAUGUUAACUUCUUAGGCCCUGAUUACUAUGAACUAGGAAUGGAAAAUUGCUUUUCGUUUUAUCAAGAAGAAUUACACAAACUCUUUCUUGAAGAUAUAAGUGGUGAGAAAAUUAUUCCAGAUGCUGUGGAGUCACCUUUGCUAAUCAGUUUUCUAGCUUCAUUUGAAAGAAAGUGCACAGCAUUGUCUGAACAAAGUCGUACUGGCAAGUCAUGGGUGCAGUACCUGCGGCAGGUGGACAUAUUACGCCUUUUUAUUAGAGCUGAAAGGUUCGGUGAUAGGGAACUCCAUUUACAGUGUGUGCGGUCAAUGUUGCCAUACCUGCAUGCUGCUGGACACUUUCACUAUGCAAAAUCAGCUCACUUAUAUGUCCAGCAGAUCGAGGCACUUCCAUCUCAAAUGCCAUCAAAUGGGUACAACAAAAUUAAAUCACAAAGUUUCUUUACUGUACAAAGAAAGGACGAGUUCUGGGGAGGCUUAUGGACAGACUUGUCGAUAGAGCAGGAUCUCAUGCGUGCGCACAAAACUCAAGGGGGCCUUACAAGAGGACGUGGAAUAACAGAAAGUACACUUGCAUAUUGUGUAGCUACUUUUCCUGUAUGCUUGAAGUUGUGCAAUGCCUUGGAGGAGCUUUCUGGCAUCAAAGCUGGAUCAUCUGAACAGCAUGUUGAGUUAAGGGAUUCAUGCAAAACCAGAGAUGCUCGUGAUGUUGCUGUACUACUGUCUUGACAAUCACACGAACAUAUUCGGCGUGCUUCUAAAAGGACAUCUGCUGAAUUUAUGUUUGACAUGAACACAUCUGCGAGCACAACGCAAGCUGAUUUCCUAAGUAACCAUCACAACAAGGAACGACUGAUCACCUUGUUGGCCCACCAUUUCGAAACAGCAGGAAUCAAAGUGUGCAAUUCUGAGGGCGAUGCUGAUACUCUUAUUGUGAAGAAAGCGCUUGAGCUGGUUUCAUUGGGAAACAAUGUCACAGUUGUUGCAUCUGACAGACAUUGUAGUCAUGCUGUUAGCCCGCGCCACUGAUGACAUGGACUUAAGAAUCCUUAGUCCAGGUACGAAUACAAAAUGUGACAAAGUGUGUCAUGUGAAGGAAAUUCAAGAACAUAUCGGAAAGAGCAAAGAUAAUUUCCUCUUCUGUCAUGCAGUUACUGGUUGUGACACAUCUGCUUUCUUUGGCAAAGGUAAAAAAAAGCAUGGAAAAUUCUCCAGAGACCUGACAUGGUCUAUGUUGCACAAGUGUUCAACAGUCCAGAGUCUACGAAAGAGGAGGUUUGUGCUGCUGGAGAGAAAUUCGUCAUAGCUCUGUACGGUGGGGAAAAUAUCACCAGUUUGGAUGAACUCAGAGUAAUUCAGUAUACACGCUCCAUCGCUAAGCAGUCUGUUACGGCAGCCUUAAAACUAGCGACAUUGCCACCAACAAGUGCUGUAUGUGCAGAACAUUCACUGCUGACAUAUUAUCAGGUAAUUCUUUUCAACUUUACACUGAGAAUGUAACUGAAUGUAUAUAAUAUCGAAACAUUAAAUAAUAAAACUUGUGUUUUUGUCCUAGGUUCAGCAGUGGUAUGAUAACGUAUCCCUUAAUUCAGUCAACUGGGGGUGGCAACUGGCUGGAGGAUACUUGGUUCCAAUAAUGACUAGCUGGGCACCUGCACCUGAUUCUUUGUUGCGCCUGAUUUCCUAUGGCUGUAAGACAGACUGUGGCUACAGAUGUGAAUGCAGACGUGCUGGAUUGGCCUGCUCGACGAUGUGUGGACAUUGUAGAGGAGGAAGCUGCAUGAAUAUAGAAAUUCAAGAUUUUCAUGGAAGUGGCGACGAAGAUGACCCAGAGGAAGCUACUCUAUAAGUAAUUAUAUCUAAUUCAUGAACCAAAUAAAUUGCUUUCCUUUUUUUUAGUUUAUAAUUCACAAUGAAAGAGUUGUAGAAAAGAUUGCAAACAUUACUACUUUGCAUAUAAUUAUGAGAGGGUUUUAUUAACAUAGAAAGCCGUAUUCUAGUUUUAAUAAAAUAAAUUUAUGUUAGUAAAUGCUGUGCUAAAAAAUAUAUUACGAUAGGCCUAACAUAAGUUAUUUAUUUUGAAAUUAAUUAAAACAAAACUGAAUUAGGAAUCGAAAUAGUGUUUCAGUUUAGGUGUCGCAUAACAUAACAGUCCAAAUCAUUUACAUAAAUUAUGUAUACAUGAUUAACAAACUUAUAAUAUGCGUUAAACUGAAUAUUACUUGAAUAUUAUAACUAGCUUACACUUACAUAGAUUCUGUAGACUCGCAAUUGCACUUGACGAUGCACGCCAGUGUAUGUGAUUACACGACGCGCGCUAUUGUUUAGGCGGUCGUAUCUCCUAAACAAACCAUCCCAUGAAAAUGAAUAAUACACCAUUGGAAAAAGAAAACUGUAGCAAAUAUCGAUUGUAGAAACCACUUUUUAGCUAUCUGGCUUAAUUUAUACUCUCUGAGUCUGUUGAUUUGCAACUUUGGUAAUUUUUCAAGAAAUUCUUGAAAGAUAAUCGCUUUAACAACGCUGAAAAUGUAUUUCAUUUACUAAUUGAAAAUUUACAGCUAUUAAGUAUGAUCUUACGAUGAAAUAAAAUUUAUAUAGAAGAGUAUUUAUUCUUGGGUUUAAUUUCUGAAGGAUCAAUUUUGCAGGUGUGUCGAUUUUUGCGACUUAAGACAUUUUUGCCCUAAAAAAACAUGGACGCCGGCAUGGGAGAAUAGGCGAAAUUCAGUAUGUUGUUCAGGAAGGUGAAUAGUACUAAUGACCAAAUUUGCAGCUUUAUAAUAUUUUUUUCCGGGUUAAACUCUAAAAUUCCUGGGCUAAUAGUAUGUUUGUAAGAAUGUGUAUCGAGCUACUGUCAUAUGGGCAUAAACUUAAAACAAUAUGUCAUCGAUUUCUGUAACUGAGCUCAUUAUUGCCCUGUGUUUUUUUAUUAACAAAAACUUAUAGAAGUGUGACUGAUUUUAUACUGCUAAACAAUAUGUAGAGGUGACUGCUAAACGUAUGCAUAAUAUUAUAGUAAAGGAUGUUGACUGCAAA